rnacentral:lncRNA from 1 species
GAUCUCCUGACCUCGUGAUCCGCCCACCUCGGCCUCCCAAAGUGCUCGGAUUACAGGCGUGAGCCACCGCGCCCAGCCCAAAAAAUUUUUUAAAGUGAUUGAGUUAAAAUAAAAUCUUCAGAGUGGGACCUAAUUCAAUAUGAGUGGUAUUCCCAUAAAAAGAAACGUGGACACAGAGAAAAAUCAAAUGCAUGCACACGCAGAGAUGACCCUGUGAACACGCCAAGAGGAGGCAGUUGACUCCAGUGAUGAACAAGGAGAGAGGCCUCAGAAGAAACUAAACAUGCUAACACCUCAAUCUUGAACUUCUAGUCUCCAGAAGUGUGAGAAAACAAAUUUGUGUUGUUGAACUCACUCUGGUUGUGGUAUGUUGUUAUGGCAGCCUUAGCAAACUAAUAUACCCUCCUAUGCAAUAACCUAAUCUUGGUUCAACACUCUUUCCCCUCUAGAAAAUUUGCAGCUCUCCAUGCAGUCUUCAACUUGAGUAACAGCCCUUCUUCUUGGAAGAUGAAGUUGUCUUUUUAUUGAUCCUGACUCAUCUUUGGAAAGGUCUUGAGACUUCGGUUUCGCAUACAUAAAGAAGAUGGUACCGUAAAAUAUGAUCACCACAGUCAGGAAAUCAAAAGAAGAUCUAACAUGAAAUGUAUUUACUGCCAAGAAACAAACAGUACAAAUUAACUGAACAAUCAUUCUUUUGACACAUAUUAGAAGGAGUGCUUGCUUGAAGUUCUGACAUCCAGUUAUCUUCAGUAAUGUGUGUGACUAGAAUACAAUGAAAUUGGGAAUGAUGGAAGCACCUAUACCGCAUCGCCAAUAUGUGAAGAUCUACCCACGAUCAGACACACAUGCAGACGGAACCUUUCCUGCUGUUGAGGACAUGUUCCUGAGUUGAGGACACUCUCCCGAGCUGAGGUUUCUAAAACCCCUGGCCAAUCAACAACUCUAAGCUUAACAUCUUCAUUUCAUCAACCCCAGCAAACAAGCAGUAAAGGGGGCAAAAGACUACUCAACAAAGACUGGAAUUUUAAUUCAGCAAUUUAUAAAGUGUUUAAAAUUUCACAGCAACUUUGACAUUUUUGUGUGUUUAUAUUUUUUUCUAGGCCUGAUACUAAUACCUUAUAGUUAGUUUAAUUGUGUAUUUUACAGACACUUAAUAAUAAUACAUUGAAUCACAUACCCUGAAAUUUGACAAUUGUUUAAAGGCAUAGUUAGUUGUUGAUCUCAUAGUAUCUUGUUAUGACUGUUCCUAUGACAAGACCAUUGCCCAGAACAGCUCCGCAUGAAUGUGAUAGUCUUUGGAGAACAUUAUAUAGUGUCUUUACAUAUUUUACUCUGUAGCUUAAGAGUCUGUCUUGAUAAUUUACUCAUUUAAAU